rnacentral:rRNA from 1 species
UAAUACGGAGGGGGCAAGCGUUGUUCGGAAUUACUGGGCGUAAAGGGCGCGUAGGCGGGAAGUCAAGUUAGGGGUGAAAGGCCUGGGCUCAACCUAGGAACUGCCUCUAAAACUGGCUAUCUAGAGUCCGGGAGAGGAUGGCGGAAUUCCCAGUGUAGAGGUGAAAUUCGUAGAUAUUGGGAAGAACACCAGUGGCGAAGGCGGCCAUCUGGUCCGGCACUGACGCUGAGGCGCGAAAGCGUGGGGAGCAAACAGGAUUAGAUACCCUGGUAGUCCACGCCGUAAACGAUGUGUGCUAGCCGUUGGAUCACGUUGGUGUUUCAGUGGCGCAGCUAACGCGUUAAGCACACCGCCUGGGGAGUACGGUCGCAAGAUUA